AGGACGAACGCUGGCGGCGUGCCUAACACAUGCAAGUCGAGCGAGGAGAUCCUUCGGAUGAUCCUAGCGGCGGACGGGUGAGUAACACGUGGGCAACCUGCCUCAUAGAGAGGAAUAGCCUUCCGAAAGGAGAUUAAUACCUCAUAACAUUGCAGUUUCGCAUGGAACAGCAAUUAAAGGAGUAAUCCGCUAUGAGAUGGGCCCGCGGCGCAUUAGCUAGUUGGUGAGGUAACGGCUCACCAAGGCGACGAUGCGUAGCCGACCUGAGAGGGUGAUCGGCCACAUUGGGACUGAGACACGGCCCAGACUCCUACGGGAGGCAGCAGUGGGGAAUAUUGCACAAUGGGGGAAACCCUGAUGCCAGCAACGCCGCGUGAGUGAUGACGGCCUUCGGGUUGUAAAGCUCUGUCUUCAGGGACGAUAAUGACGGUACCUGAGGAGGAAGCCACGGCUAACUACGUGCCAGCCGCCGC
rnacentral:rRNA from 1 species